GGAGUCGGACAGACUGUCGUUGCGUGUCACACCUGAGGGGGUAUGCACACGGAGAGGAAAGUCCGGGCUCCACAGGGCAGGACGCUGGGUAACGCCCAGGAGGGGUGACCCUCGGAAAGCGCCACAGAAAACAAACCGCCGCGCUGUGCGCGGUAAGGGUGCAACGGUGGGGCAAAAGCCCACCAGAGGCUGCGGUGACGCGGUCUGCUAGGCAUGCCCCGUCUGGAGCAAAACCAAAUAGGGAAGGCGGCUGGCCCGGCCCGUAUGCCUUCCGGGUAGGUUGCUUGAGGGCGCGGGCAACCGCGCUCCUAGAGGAAUGACGGUCAGAUGCGCCGCGCGCAUGACAGAACCCGGCUUACAGUCCGGCUCCCGCA
rnacentral:RNase_P_RNA from 1 species